UAGGGAAACUUCCGCAAUGGACGAAAGUCUGACGGAGCAACACCGCGUGAGCGAUGAAGGCCUUCGGGUCGUAAAGCUCUGUUGUCAGGGAAGAACAAGUAUCGGAGUAACUGCCGGUACCUUGACGGUACCUGACCAGAAAGCCACGGCUAACUACGUGCCAGCAGCCGCGGUAAU
rnacentral:rRNA from 1 species